UUAGGUAAAGCUACAAAGAGCUAAUGGGGAAUGCCUUGGUACUGACAGCCGAUGAAGGACGUGUAAAGCUGCGAUAAGCUGCGGGGAACUGCUAAAAGGUCUUGAUCCGCAGAAAUCCGAAUGGGGAAACCCUAUCAAGUUAAAACUUGAUAACUCACAAGUGAAUACAUAGCUUGUGUAGAGGAAAGCCUGUGAACUGAAACAUCUUAGUAACAGGACGAAGAGAAAAUAACCCAAUGAUUCCGAGAGUAGCGGCGAGCGAAAUUGGAAGAGCCUAAAUUGUGUGUACGUGAUAGCCUGCAAGCGUUGUGCACAUGAGGUUGUGGGACUUGCAUCAUAUUUUGCAGAAUAUGGAUUGAGUUAGAAAAUUAUUUAUUAGUUAAAGUCAACUGGGAAGUUGCGCCAUAGAGAGUGAUAGCCUCGUAAACGACAAUAAAUAAUCUCAAGUAAGUAUCCCGAGUAAGGCGGGGCACGUGAAACCCUGUCUGAAUCCACCGGGACCAUCCGGUAAGGCUAAAUACUAGUCAGUGACCGAUAGUGAACGAGUACAGUGAUGGAAAGGCGAAAAGAACAGUGAGAAGCUGAGUGAAAUAGACCCUGAAACCGUUAGCUUACAACCAGUCAGAGCACAAUUAAUUGUGUUAUGGCGUGCCUGUUGAAGAAUGAGCCGGCGAGUUAUUUUUUGUUGCGAGGUUAAGGAGAUCAUAUCCGGAGCCACAGGGAAACCGAGUCUGAAUAGGGCGUUAAGUAACAGGAAAUAGACCCGAACCUUGGUGAUCUAACCUUGACCAGGAUGAAGCGUGGGUAACACUACGUGGAGGUCCGAACCAACCGAUGUUGAAAAAUCGGUGGAUGAGUUGAGGUUAGGGGUGAAAUGCCAAUCGAACCAAGAGCUAGCUGGUUCUCCCCGAAAUGCGUUUAGGCACAGCGUUGGAUUUAUCUUGCAGGAGGUAGAGCACUGGUUUUGUGCGGGCGUCGAAAUGAUGUACCAAACAAUGUCAAACUCCGAAUACCUGUAAUGUCAUUAUCCAGCAGUGAGGCUAUGAGUGAUAAGAUCCAUGGCCAAGAGGGAAACAGCCCAGAACGCCAGUUAAGGUCCCUAAUAUAUGCUAAGUGGUUAAGGAGGUAGAGUUACUGAGACAACCAGGAGGUUGGCUUAGAAGCAGCCAUCCCUUGAAAGAGUGCGUAAUAGCUCACUGGUCAAGUGACUCCGCGCCGAAAAUACACCGGGACUAAAGCAUAUAACCGAAGCUGCGUCAUAUAGUUUACUAUAUGGGUAGGGGAGCGUACUGUAGUAAGACGAAGCUAGAGUGAAAACACUAGUGGAUGAGGCAGUAGUGAGAAUGUCGGCAUAAGUAGCGAAAACAUUGGUGAGAAUCCAAUGCACCGAAAACCUAAGGUUUCCCACGGCAGGCUCGUCCGCGUGGGGUUAGUCGGAUCCUAAGCUCAGGCCAAACGGCGUAGGCGAUGGACAAUAGGUUGAUAUUCCUAUACUAUCUGAUAAUCGUUAUCAGAAGCGGAGGGACGCAAGAGGAUAAGCACGCAGUCGACUGGAAGAGACUGUAUAAGCGUGUAGCUAGGUUUGACAGGAAAAUCCGUCAAAUCGUUAAUGUGAGGCGUGAUGUGGAGAGUCUACGGACUCGAAGGUGUUGACUCCAAAUUGCCAAGAAAAUCUUCGCUCUCGAGAUUAUUGGGUAUCCGUACCGUAAACCGCCACAGGUAGGUUGGUAGAAAAUACUAAGGUGCGCGAGACAACUCUCGCUAAGGAACUCGGCAAAAUCACCUCGUAACUUCGGGAGAAGAGGUACCCUGGUAGCGUGAAGCGAUUUACUCGUGAAGCGUGAUAGGGUCGCAGUGAAUAGGCCCAAGCGACUGUUUACCAAAAACACAGGUCUCUGCUAAGUCGAUCAAGACGAUGUAUAGGGGCUGACGCCUGCCCGGUGUCGGAAGGUUACGCGGAAAUGUUAGAAGCAAUUCAAAGCAUCGAAGCUAAGCCCCGAUGAACGGCGGCCGUAACUAUAACGGUCCUAAGGUAGCGAAAUUCCUUGUCAGGUAAGUUCUGACCCGCACGAAUGGCGUAACGAUUUGGGCGCUGUCUCGGCGAGAGGCUCGGCGAAAUUGGAUUAUCCGUGAAGAUACGGAUUACGUGUACCAGGACAGAAAGACCCUAUUGAGCUUUACUGUAGCUUGAAAUUGAAUUCGGGUUCUCAUUGCGCAGUAUAGGUGGGAGACUAUGAAGCUUGAACUUUGGUUUAAGUGGAGUCAUCGUUGAGAUACCACUCUGUGAAAAUUUGGAUUCUAACCUUGAUCCCUCAAAGAACAGGGCAAGGGACAGUUUCUGGUAGGCAGUUUGACUGGG
rnacentral:rRNA from 1 species